GGUAGUUCCUCCUGCGUUCAUUCUCCUUCCUGCUGCCUUGUGAAGAAGGUGCCUUGCUGCUGCCAUUAUUGAUGUGGAGCUGAGAAGCCCCGAUUUCCACUUUCUGACUCCUAGACUCAGCUGAUUUGAACCCCUCAGUGGAAUAGCAGCAGCCCAUCCGCAGCUUUCCUAGAAGUUCCUGACCUAGUAGCCUGAAAUGCAUUCUAAUCAAGUGAGACAAGGCUGUGGCUGGAAGACUCCCCGUGAGCCAGGGAAUUGAAGCUGCCUCUGCAAGCUGAAUUCGUAAUUGCCAUGAGAAGGCAACAGCAUCAAAUCCUCCAGCGUGCCAAUUCUUUAGGCGACGGACGAAUUGACAACUCCUCACCUUACAUAGGCACCAACUGACUGUUGGUCUUUGCCCAGCUCUGGGUUUGUACCUGCCCUUCUGCCCACAGCGAUGGUGUCAUUUUGACCUUGAUCUGGGAAUUGCUGUUCUUGUCAGCCUGUUGGCUCCCUCUGUUGAGGGAGACAGCUCUUUUGAGUGUCCAGGAGAUGGAAGUACAAAGGUGGACAAAUAUCUACACUCGGAAGGCAGACAAUAGUACCCCCCAAUUUCUGUUUGCACAUAGGUGAGAGCAAGAAAAAAAGGAGAAUACAUUGUAAAGAGUUUUAGUUCAGACACAAUAUGAAAGCACUUGAUUCUAAUGUUAUUUUUUUAAAAUUCAACUAAACACAUGUAGGACAAAUAUAGAACCAUAUCCUAGAGUUUGUUUUUUACUUUUUCUUUUUGAGAAGGAGUCUUGCUCAGUCGCCCGGGCUGGAGUGCAGUGGCGCGAUCUCAGCUCACUGCAAGCUCCUCCUCCCGGGUUCACGCCAUUCUCCGGCCUCAGCCUCCCAAGUAGCUGGGACUACAGGCGCCCGCCUCCACACCCGGCUAAUUUUUUUCUAUUUUUCGGUCUCCUGACCUUGUGAUCGGCCCGCCUCGGCCUCCCAAAGUGCUGGGAUUACAGGCGUGAGCCACCACACCCGGCCUAGCGUGGUUUUUAAAGAGCUUUAUUAUCCUGCUUUUUAAAACUUUAAUACAUUUUCCAAAUUUCUACAAAGAGAACAUAUCUCAACAAAAUUAGGAAAAAAUGCAAAUGAGAAAAGACGGAUACUCAAGUGCAGCUCAGUUCAGUCCAGUGCCAGCUGGCCAGGCCUUUUGCGGCAGGCAGCCUAUAAAGAUGCUCUAUAAAGAUACUGCACGCCUGGGUCUGGAUUCUCCAGGGAGCAGGUGGCUCAGAGAGAGCAUCAGUGACAAGAGCAAGGCAGAUGGUGGGAAGGCGAGGGUGUGGGUGCCACACGGUGGCAUCUCACACACUUCUGUUCAUUCCAUAAACAGGUUUAGUAAGCACCAUUUCCUGGGGGAAAGUCUACUUCUGGAAAGAAUUGUCUAUUGGAAAUGAAGAUCUUUCCCUGCUGCAGAAUAGGCUUAAAGAAACAAGUGCAGGCAGACAAGAGGGUCCUCCAGACCAUGUGCCUAGCCAAAACUUUUUUUGUUGUUAAUAGAGACAGGUUCUCACUAUGUUGCCCAGGCUAGUCCCAAACUCCUGGGCUCAAGUGAUCCUCCUGCCUUGGCCUUGCAAAGUGCUGGGAUUACAGGUGUGAGCCACCAUAGCUGUCCUGGCCUAAACUUAAUAGUAAAUCUACAUCUGUAUUCCGGAAAACCUAUCAGAAUAACCUAAAGUGUUAGAGCUUGUGGAAAAAGGCAAUGUCAAAAAAAGAAAAAAAAUGAAAUAAUAUAAAAUAAAGAAUAACUCUAAGUGAAGUAAAAAUAUUAGUAAUGAUAAUAAUAUGUAAUGAAUGCUAAUUCUAUACUGGGCAGAGAGUAUUAUUUUAUUUAACCUUUACACCAACCUUUUGAAGUAAAUGCCAUUGUUACUAUGUCCGUGUUACAGAUGAAGAAACUGAGGAUUAAUGAGCUUGAGUCACUUGCUCAAGGCCCCAUAAUUGCUAAGGAUCAAAGCCCUGUCUGCUCUGGGUGGGACUCCAAAGUCAGUGCUUUUGUUCAAAAUAUUACUCUGUUCUUCUGAGAGUAAGAGAGGCUUGGGCCAGGCAUGGUGGCUCACGCCUGUAAUCCCAGCACUUUGGGAGGCUGAGAUGGGAGGGUCACUUGAGCCCAGGAGUUCAAAACCAGCCUGGGCAACAUAGUGAGAGCCCCCAUCUCUAAAAAAUUAAAAUAAAAAAUAAAAUUUUGGCCA
rnacentral:lncRNA from 1 species